CAUCUAAAGAAAAUGAAUUGAAAUGAAAUUAAUAUCAACAUUUAAGUUCAGAAGCCUCAGGCUGUUGAUACUUAAAAGCAUGUUAUGACUGAUGCAGAAAGCAAAAAUAAAGUAAAAUAAAAUUGACAAGCUCACAUUUUUCUUUACAAAUAGUUGUGGUUUGGGGAAUAAGCAAAAAAAAUAAAUAAAUAGAAGAAGAGUAUCACGCAGAAACUGAUACUGCACCAUUCAUUCAUGUGGUAUUUCAACACUCUAGUUCCAAAAUACAAAUGUGAAUACCCAAGGAAGCACAUCCAAAACUGCAUAUGUUCCAUAAUUGGACAGCCCAGGUCAGAGCUAGAAGUGAUACAGUUCAGGUCCAAAUAGUCAUACUGCCUGGAAAUCAAGGGAGCAGUGGGCAUAGCUAUGAUAUACAGUUAAGAAACAGUACUGACAUUACCAUUGUGCUGAUGAGGUCCUUAUCUUAUGGUAUCUACAGCUAUUUUUGGAAGGUUCAGCUGGUUUUACAAUUUAGCAAGAAUGAGAAGGAAUAUCAGUGUGUGGAAGUCAAUGUCAUGAAAGAACUUCCAUAAUAAUCCUUAAUUUCUGCUUUGUAGAAAUGCAUCUUACCUGUGAGACUAUCCUUUCCUGUGAAAAGUGACUGGACAUCCUAAAUGUGGGGUAGUCCCCACUUUCAUAUAGGCAGGAACAACAGAACCCUUUGAGAGUGACCAGUAGGAAGAGCAAUCCCAUGUGACAGCUCAUUGAUUCGGUAUAGAAUAAAAUUGUGAGCCUCUCUCAUAGAUAAGAAUGAGCCUCAUGAUACAAAUUUAUUAUCUCUCUCUUUAUUUUUUAGAGUAGGGAGCUAUCAUAAUACAUUUCUGUAACAAAAGGGAACAAAAGACUGAAGGAAUGCAGACAGAAGAAAAAACAGACAGAACCAAUAGGUGAUUUCAGUUUAACUGGAAAUGCUAGGGAUUGAAGUACUGAACCAUUUCCUCAACGUUAAUUCAUACAAAUGUGCAUCAUGGCUUCUAGGGAAAAGAUGAAGAGUUUAUGCUUUCAUCCCCGCAGGAGGAAAGAAGCAACAGCCGAGACUUCACUAGCUGGAGACAAGCUCUGGUCAGCAAUUUAAUUUCAUAAAGGAAAGAUCUAAGGUAAUAUCUAAGAGGGCUUUCUUUAACCCAGCAUUUGUUGUGGAAACCAAAAAGAUAGUUUAAUGCAAUCUGUUGCUCCCCCUACUGUUAUUUAGUAUGGUAAGUUAUUUCUUCUAAAUAUACCAACAAAAUGGAUAAAUUAUAGAAAGAAUGGUAUUUUUGGUUUAAAAUUUGAUGUUUUUAUUUUGUCUAAUGUUAAACAGGAUGGAGAAGGCUUAAUUAAGAUUUAGUUCUAAUAGAUGUGAAAAGAUUGGGAUAUACUUUUAUUUUUCAAUUAUUUUUAUUACUCUUUUUUCUUUUUCAAUAUUUUUACUUUCUAUGUUUUAUAUAGUAUUUAGAUCUUUAUCUACUUUUAGUUGUACUGCAUUUUCAUAAAAAUAUUAAAAAUACUACUACACAUCAUUCAUGCAGAUCUUAAUGCAGUGAACACUAAUAAAUCCAGCUUAUCCCUGCACAAUAUAGACUGGCAUCUCUGAAAUACACUGAAGUAUUUCAUGGGCAUGAAAAGAGACAAAUGCAAUUUUCUAUAUUUAGGCCACAAAAACCAAUGGUAUACUGACAAGAUGGAGAAUAGUAGCAGUACAUGUCAAAAAGAUCUUGGGAUUACCAUUGAUCAUAAGUUCAUUUUGAGUCAGCAGCAUGAUACUGCAGCAGGUAGAUGAAUGCUAUUUUAGCCUGCAUUAAGAGAAGCAUGGUUUUAUGUGAGGGGAGGUAAGAGUCUCACUACAUUCUCCACUGAUCAGACCUCAUCCAGGGCGCUAUGUUCCAUUCUGGGCAUUUCAGAUCUUGGAAGAAUCCAUUUGAUAAAUUUCUAUCUUGCCUUUUAUGCAAUGACUGCAAAACAAUAUACAUUGACAUCUUCAUUCUCAAAUCCUUACAUGAGCCCUAAGAAGCAUUGUAUUGUACAAGCACCUCCUGUUAGAUUGAAAGGUUUUCCAAGAAGUCUUAACUGAUCAAACUGUUACCCUCUUCUAGUUUUGCAACAUCUCUUCUCACUUAUAAUGUACCAAAGUAAUUUCCAGAAUAAAGCACAGUGUGAUAAUAUGUUCAA